rnacentral:rRNA from 1 species
GAUGAACGCUAGCUACAGGCUUAACACAUGCAAGUCGAGGGGAAACGCCAUCGAAAGCUUGCUUUUGAUGGGCGUCGACCGGCGCACGGGUGAGUAACGCGUAUCCAACCUGCCCAUCACUUGGGAAUAACCUUGCGAAAGUAAGACUAAUACCCAAUGACAUCCCACGAAGACAUCUGAAUGGGAUUAAAGAUUUAUCGGUGAUGGAUGGGGAUGCGUCUGAUUAGCUUGUUGGCGGGGUAACGGCCCACCAAGGCAACGAUCAGUAGGGGUUCUGAGAGGAAGGUCCCCCACAUUGGAACUGAGACACGGUCCAAACUCCUACGGGAGGCAGCAGUGAGGAAUAUUGGGCAAUGGGCGAGAGCCUGAACCAGCCAAGUAGCGUGCAGGAUGACGGCCCUAUGGGUUGUAAACUGCUUUUAUAAGGGAAUAAAGUGGGUCUCGGGAGACUUUUUGCAUGUACCUUAUGAAUAAGGACCGGCUAAUUCCGUG